rnacentral:rRNA from 1 species
UAUAAAUUUAUUAAUUAUUUUUUUGAUUUUUUUUAAUUAAAGUAUUUUUUAUUUAAGUAUUUUUAAAGAAAGAAAUAUAACUUUUAUAGUUUAUAGUACUGUGAAGGAAUUAAAUUAAUAAAAUUAAAGUAAUCAUUUUUGAUUUACCUUUUGUAUCAGGGUUUAUUAAAUUUUAUAAUUUAUUGUUUAUUUUCUCGAAGUUUUAAGAGUUAUAUUUAUAUGUUAUUUAAUGUAUCAAUAUUUUUUAUAAUAUAAAUAUAGUGAAUAUAUUUUAUUCAAUUAAGAAUAUCUAGUUUUUUAAGAUAUGGGUUUAAUCCAUGAAUAAAUUUAUUUUUUAAUUAAAUUUUUAUUUAUUCACCAUUAAAAAGGGAUAAGCCUUUUUAAUUGUCUAUAAGUUUAUAAUUAAAUAUUUUAUGUAGGAUUAAUAAUUUUCAUCUUUUAUUUUGUAAAAAUAAUUUUUAAUUUAUUGUUUAUUUUGUUUUUCUUUAGUUUAACAUUAAAAUUAAGAAGAUAGCUUUUAUUUUCUUGUAAAAAUGAUAAAAUUAGUAUUUUAAUGAAAUAAUUUAUAGUAACUCGGCAAAUAUAAUUUUCACCUGUUUAACAAAAACAUGGUCUUUUGUUUAUAUAAAAGAUCUGGCCUGCCCAAUGUUGAUUGAAUGGCUGCAGUAUAUUGACUGUACAAAGGUAGCAUAAUCACUUGUCUCUUAAUUAGAGUCUGGAAUGAAUGGUUGGAUGAGAAAUUUUCUUUCUUUAUUUUUUAAAAAAAAAUUGAUUUUUAAAUAAAAAAGUUUAAAUGUAUAUAUAGGACGAGAAGACCCUAUAGAGCUUAAUCCUCCCUAAAUAAUUAUUUUUUUGUAAAUAAUUAUUUUUUAUUUUGGGGGAGGAUUUUGUUGGGGUGACAAAAAAAAUUUUAUAACUUUUUUUACUUUUUUCAUUUAUUUGUGUAUUAUUGAUCCUUUAAUAUGGAUAUUAAGAUUAAGCUACCUUAGGGAUAACAGCGUUAUUAUUUUAGAGAGUUCAUAUCGAUAAAAUAGUUUGCGACCUCGAUGUUGGAUUAAAAUAAGUUUCAGGGGCAGAAAAUUGAUUAACUAGGUCUGUUCGACCUUUAAAUUUUUACAUGAUCUGAGUUCAGACCGGCGUGAGCCAGGUUGGUUUCUAUCCUUAUUUAAUUACAAGGUUUUAGUACGAGAGGACCACUACUUUGAGAAUAGUUUUUAUUUUUUGAUUAAAUU